UACGUAGGGUGCAAGCGUUGUCCGGAUUUAUUGGGCGUAAAGAGCUCGUAGGCGGCUUGUUGCGUCGACUGUGAAAACCCGCAGCUUAACUGCGGGCUUGCAGUUGAUACGGGCAGGCUAGAGUUCGGUAGGGGAGACUGGAAUUCCUGGUGUAGCGGUGAAAUGCGCAGAUAUCGGGAGGAACACCGGUGGCGAAGGCGGUUCUCUGGGCCUGACCUGACGCUGAGGAGCGAAAGCGUGGGGAGCGAACAGG
rnacentral:rRNA from 1 species